ensembl:lncRNA
CAGCGCGUGGAUCGCCGGUGGCGGGCAGGCAGGCAGGCAGGGAUGAUGGGGGGGAUAGAACGUUGGAGCUAGAGCGAGCGCAGAGUGGGAGGGUCGAACGCGCGCUCUGCUCGGAGUGGGUUUGGCCAAGUGACAAUGUAAAUCGCUGCCAAGCUGAGUCUAGUGUUUCUCGCUUCGAGGUGGAGAGAGAGAAUAACUUCUUACGAGCGUUUAUUUCUGUAGCCGAUUACGAGCAGAGGAUAAUAGCACAACGAUAAAGUAGUUUUUUUGGCAAAGGGAGCAGCAGUUGUAAUUGUUAAGACGUGGAAUCUGGGCUUUAAAAAUCGACUUUUCCCGAGUUGCUCCGGGGUCGAAGAUCGGACGACUGCGGUGCGUGUGGAAGUUAGAUUCGGGUCGGAGGAGGAGCGGCUAGCGUUACCCUGGUAUCUGCUCUGUCGGAUUAACAUACUCCAAGGUGAGAAUUAAUUGUUUUGAUUGGUUGAGCAGAGUGUUCCAGAGUGUUCCGGCAGGACUUGGGUCCUCAGAACUCAUAAGAACCCAGACGAGAGAACACCCAACCCGGCGGAACACGCUCCUGGAACGCUAAGGAACUAGAGGACGGGACGGGAGAGAGGGAACGCCGGCGGGAAAGAGGCAAACGCCGACGGAGAGAGGAGUAAAUCUGUCCAUUCUGGGAUCUAGAAGCCAACGGGCAGAGACUGGAGGAAAGCCUCACUGAAUCAACAGACACACACACACACACACACACACACACACACACACACACACUCACACACACACACACACACACACACACACACACACACACACACACGUACACACACACUCCUGUCGUUCCACUUGCAAGCUGGUGCUGGUGGUCCAUGUGUGUGUGUGCUGCUGCGUGAAUGUGUGUGUGUGAGGGGAACCCUUCAUCGGAGAGUAGAGCAGAAGAACGGCAUUGUGGGAUAGGUGCCAUUCCUCCUGUGGGCUGCAUGGAGGUGUGACCGAGGGGCGGAGACUCUGCAGAGGGGCGGAGACUCGACAGACCACGCCUCCCGGGUGCUUUGCAUGAUGGGAAAGGAACAGGAGCUGUUGCAGGCGGUGAAGAAUGGAGACCUGUUCUCAACUCAGAAACUCCUGGCCAAGCUGAAGGCCAGUCGCAACAGU